UAGGGAAUAUUGGGCAAUGGGCGCAAGCCUGACCCAGCAACGCCGCGUGCACGAUGAAGGCCUUCGGGUUGUAAAGUGCUUUUCGGGGAGACGAGCAAGGACGGUAUCCCCGGAAGAAGGAUCGGCUAACUACGUGCCAGCAGCCGCGGUAAAACGUAGGAUCCGAGCGUUAUCCGAAUUCACUGGGCGUAAAGCGCGUGCAGGCGGCUCGCUAAGUUGGAUAUGAAAGCUCCUGGCUCAACUGGGAGAGGCUGUUCAAUACUGGCGGGCUCGAGGACGGUAGAGGGAGGUGGAAUUCCCGGUGUAGUGGUGAAAUGCGUAGAUAUCGGGAGGAACACCAGUGGCGAAGGCGGCCUCCUGGACCGUUCCUGACGCUCAGACGCGAAAGCUAGGGGAGCGAACGG
rnacentral:rRNA from 1 species